UGCUUGCUUCCAUAGCAAUAUUCUAAAAUUGGAAUGAUACAGAGAUCAGCAUGGUCUCUGUGCAAGGAUGACACACAAAUUCGGGGAGUGUUCCUUAUUUUU
ensembl:snRNA U6 U6 spliceosomal RNA